rnacentral:tRNA from 1 species
GUAGCAGGUGGCGAAAUCGAAAUGGUAAACGCGCUAGUUAAAAGCCUUACUUCGACAUCUUGCCCGUAAGGGACGUAGAGUUGAGGGUUAUCGGUUGCUAGUACCGCAAGGUUUAUAGGUUCAAGUCCUACUCUGCUACACCA